rnacentral:rRNA from 1 species
UACGUAGGGUGCAAGCGUUGUCCGGAAUUAUUGGGCGUAAAGAGCUCGUAGGCGGUCUGUCGCGUCGGAUGUGAAAAUCCAGGGCUCAACCCUGGACCUGCAUUCGAUACGGGCAGACUAGAGUUCGGUAGGGGAGACUGGAAUUCCUGGUGUAGCGGUGAAAUGCGCAGAUAUCAGGAGGAACACCGGUGGCGAAGGCGGGUCUCUGGGCCGAAACUGACGCUGAGGAGCGGAAGCGUGGGGAGCAAACAGG